rnacentral:rRNA from 1 species
GGGCCCGCACAAGCGGUGGAGUAUGUGGUUUAAUUCGAUGCAACGCGAAGAACCUUACCAGGGUUUGACAUCCUGCGAAUUUCUUGGAAACGAGAAAGUGCCUUCGGGAACGCAGUGACAGGUGGUGCAUGGCUGUCGUCAGCUCGUGUCGUGAGAUGUUGGGUUAAGUCCCGCAACGAGCGCAACCCACGUCUUUAGUUGCCAGCAUUUAGUUGGGCACUCUAGAGAGACUGCCGGUGAUAAACCGGAGGAAGGUGUGGAUGACGUCAAGUCAUCAUGCCCCUUACAUCCUGGGCUACACACGUACUACAAUGCUACGGACAAAGGGCAGCAAGUUCGCGAGGACAAG